ensembl:snRNA U2 U2 spliceosomal RNA
AUCGCUUCUUGGCCUUUUGGCUAAGAUCAAGUGUAAAAAAAAAAGAGUUAAAACCAUUCUUAGCAUGUGGUGGGUAGGACCUGGCCCACGGCCCCAGUUUGCUGGCCCCUGUCCUAUGCCACUCUUA